UACGUAGGGGGCGAGCGUUGUCCGGAAUUAUUGGGCGUAAAGAGCGUGUAGGCGGUUCGGUAAGUCCGCUGUGAAAGUCGGGGGCUCAACCCUCGAAUGCCGGUGGAUACUGUCGGGCUAGAGUCCGGAAGAGGCGAGUGGAAUUCCUGGUGUAGCGGUGAAAUGCGCAGAUAUCAGGAGGAACACCAAUGGCGAAGGCAGCUCGCUGGGACGGUACUGACGCUGAGACGCGAAAGCGUGGGGAGCGAACAGG
rnacentral:rRNA from 1 species